GGGGGGGGGGGGGGGGGGGGGGGGCGCAGGCGGGGCGGGGGGGGAGGGGCGGGUGGUGGGGGGGGGCCGGGUGGGGAGCGGGGGAGGAGAACGUGUGGAGCCCGCCCGUGACUUUGGGAUAAAAGCAGGGAAGUGGGGCGAAUACCGGGCAGGAGCUCCCGCUGCAGGGUGUGCGUGAGAAAGUUUCGGCGGUGGGGGAUUGACUCGCGGCUUAUCAGCUCGUGGGUGGGGUAGUGGCUUUGCACGGCUUUGACGGGUAGCCGGCCUGAGAGGGUGGCCGGCCACAUUGGGCCUGUGAUACGGCCCAGACUCCUACGGGAGGCAGCAGUGGGGAAUAUUGCACAAUGGGCGGAAGCCUGAUGCAGAAACGCCGCGUGCGGGAUGACGGCCUUCGGGUUGUAAACCGCUUUCGCCUGUGACGAAGCGUGAGUGACGGUAAUGGGUAAAGAAGCACCGGCUAACUACGUG
rnacentral:rRNA from 1 species